rnacentral:rRNA from 1 species
AACGAACGCUGGCGGCAGGCCUAACACAUGCAAGUCGAGCGAGACCUUCGGGUCUAGCGGCGGACGGGUGAGUAACGCGUGGGAACGUGCCCUUUUCUACGGAAUAGCCUCGGGAAACUGAGCGUAAUACCGUAUACGCCCUUUGGGGGAAAGAUUUAUCGGAGAAGGAUCGGCCCGCGUUGGAUUAGGUAGUUGGUGGGGUAAUGGCCUACCAAGCCUACGAUCCAUAGCUGGUUUGAGAGGAUGAUCAGCCUCACUGGGACUGAGACACGGCCCAGACUCCUACGGGAGGCAGCAGUGGGGAAUCUUAGACAAUGGGGGCAACCCUGAUCUAGCCAUGCCGCGUGAGUGAUGAAGGCCUUAGGGUUGUAAAGCUCUUUCAGCUGGGAAGAUAAUGACGGUACCAGCAGAAGAAGCCCCGGCUAACUCCGUG